CGCCCGUCACGCGAGAGAACGCGCCUCCACUGCUCUAGAGUCCAGUGGCAGCGUGCUUUACAACAAUGCAUCCGAUGCUUUGUCUUGCAUUUGGUGAUGUAUGGCUGGGAUGCAGCUGGUCACCAUGGAAACCCAU